rnacentral:rRNA from 6 species
CCGAGAUGAGUUCUCCCUGAGACUUAGAGUCUCCUGAAGGAACGUUGAAGACGACGACGUUGAUAGGCCGGGUGUGUAAGCGCAGCGAUGCGUUGAGCUAACCGGUACUAAUGAACCGUGAGGCUUAACCUUACAACGCCGAAG